UACGAUAGCAGAAACAGGAUGAUG
rnacentral:siRNA from 1 species